rnacentral:lncRNA from 1 species
UUUUACUUUUGUAUUUGCAGAGGGCCUGGCGAUACAGGACUCUGAACCUGGCUGUGGGAAGUCUGGGCUCUUUAAUAGCAAUAAUAAGUAAUGAAAGAUUUAGCUAAUGUUUUGCUCUUCUGUUUGUGCCUUUUCACCUUAAGAUCUCAAGAGCCUGUUGAAACCUUCAAUUAAGCUUCCUGUUGCCUGUUAUUCAAGAUUCAUGGGGGAGGAAACUGAGGCACAGGGAAAUCUGAAGGAUAACAGAGCCACUGUUGAAGCAGCAGAGAGAAACUACUUCUAGCUCAGCUUCCACCACCAAAGAGCCCUGCGUGGAGGGAGAGGAAAGCAAAGUCUGGAUGUGACAUGGCUGAAUUGUCACCCGCCCUCCUGAGCAGUUUGCAGAAACCCCCAAAUCCCAGGGCUUUAUCUCACUUACACCAAGUUGUAAGUUACUCUGGCAAUGUUCUUGUUUUAAUAAGAGAGGACCGUAAAACAAGAGCAUAUCUAUAAUUUAACCUUUAAUGAAAUCAAUGUUCCGCUACAAGAGUGAUCUAGAAUUGGGCCUUACUGUACAUAACCUGUUUGUAGACCCAACCGAAGGGUUGGAUGCAGCACAGUUUUCGCAGUAUGUGGAUUUCCUGAAUGAGUAAAAGUUUCUCCAGAAACUGGGCUUUUUGUUUUCUGGCUCGGCUAAUUCUCGAGAUGCUACGAGUCAUAUUGGACACCUGGCACGGGUCUGGCCCUUGAGCACUCUGUACCGUGCGGCAAGAGGUCCCGCUAGUGUGAUGGGAACUGCCAAGGCUAAAAGGAAACACAUCUGUUAAGCACCUGGAUCCAUGCAUGUGCAGUUCUUAGAUGGCCAGGAGAUGGGACGCCACAUGGUGAGGUCAAAUGCAAGGUAAUAAGGUGCUAUCAGAAACAUUUUUAGCAUCUGAGUGUUAAAAAGUUGGUGUGAAUAGCAGACUGCUCAGAUACACG